rnacentral:rRNA from 1 species
GGAUUGCCUCAGUAACGGCGAGUGAAGCGGCAAGAGCUCAAAUUUGAAAUCUGGCCCCCUCGGGGUCCGAGUUGUAAUUUGCAGAGGAUGCUUCGGGUGCGGUCCCCAUCUAAGUGCCCUGGAACGGGCCGUCAUAGAGGGUGAGAAUCCCGUCUGGGAUGGGCGGCCGCGCCCGUGUGAAGCUCCUUCGACGAGUCGAGUUGUUUGGGAAUGCAGCUCUAAGCGGGUGGUAAAUUUCAUCUAAAGCUAAAUACUGGCCGGAGACCGAUAGCGCACAAGUAGAGUGAUCGAAAGAUGAAAAGCACUUUGAAAAGAGAGUUAAACAGCACGUGAAAUUGUUGAAAGGGAAGCGUUGUCCACCAGACUCGCCCGGGGGGGUUCAGCCGGCACGUGUGCCGGUGUACUCCUCUCCGGGCGGGCCAGCAUCGGUUUGGGCGGCUGGUGAAAGGCCCCGGGAAUGUACCACCCUCCGGGGUGUCUUAUAGCCCGGGGUGCCAUACAGCCAGCCUGGACCGAGGCCCGCGCUUCGGCGAGGAUGCUGGCGUAAUGGUGGUCAACGGCCCGUCUUGA